CAGUCGCCGCGGUAAUACGUAGGGUGCAAGCGUUAAUCGGAUUUACUGGGCGUAAAGCGUGCGUAGGCGGCUAUUUAAGACAGAUGUGAAAUCCCUGGGCUUAACCUAGGAACUGCAUUCGAGACUGUAUAGCUAGAGUAUGGGAGAGGAUGAUAGAAUUCCGCGUGUAGCGGUGAAAUGCGUAGAGAUGCGGAGGAACACCGAUGGCGAAGGCAAUCACCUGGGCUUAUACUGACGCUGAUGCACGAAAGCAUGGGGAGCAAACAGGAUUAGAUACCCCUGUAGUCCCUGUCUCUUAUAC
rnacentral:rRNA from 1 species